CGGACGGGUGAGUAACGCGUGGGAACGUGCCUUCUGGUCUGGAAUAACCCUGGGAAACUAGGGCUAAUACCGGAUACGCCCUUUUGGGGAAAGGUUUACUGCCGGAAGAUCGGCCCGCGUCUGAUUAGCUAGUUGGUGGGGUAACGGCCUACCAAGGCGACGAUCAGUAGCUGGUCUGAGAGGAUGAUCAGCCACACUGGGACUGAGACACGGCCCAGACUCCUACGGGAGGCAGCAGUGGGGAAUAUUGGACAAUGGGCGCAAGCCUGAUCCAGCCAUGCCGCGUGAGUGAUGAAGGCCUUAGGGUUGUAAAGCUCUUUUAUCCGGGACGAUAAUGACGGUACCGGAGGAAUAAGCCCCGGCUAACUUCGUGCCAGCAGCCGCGGUAAUACGAAGGGGGCUAGCGUUGCUCGGAAUCACUGGGCGUAAAGGGCGCGUAGGCGGCGUUUUAAGUCGGGGGUGAAAGCCUGUGGCUCAACCACAGAAUGGCCUUCGAUACU
rnacentral:rRNA from 1 species